rfam:Macaca mulatta chromosome 4, whole genome shotgun sequence.
AGCUUUGUGUAGUGGCAGUAUCAUAGCCAAUGAGGUUUAUCCAAGACAUGAUAAUUGCUAACUGCAAACAGCAUAAAACCAACUGCCAAAAAAAUGCUUUGUAUCCCACAAGGCUUAUGAAAAUAACCAGAUA